UACAGAGGCCCCAAGCGUUACUGAGAAUCACUGGGUUUAAAGGGUGCGUAGGUGGUGCGUUAAGUCCGUUGUGAAAGCCCUGGGCUCAACCCAGGAACUGCUUCGGAUACUGGCGCGCUUGAGGCUAGUAGGGGUCACUGGAACUGACGGUGGAGCGGUGAAAUGCGUAGAUAUCGUCAGGAACGCCAAUGGUGAAGACAGGUGACUGGGCUAGUUCUGACACUGAGGCACGAAAGCGUGGGGAGCGAACGGG
rnacentral:rRNA from 1 species